UACGUAGGGUGCAAGCGUUGUCCGGAAUUAUUGGGCGUAAAGAGCGUGUAGGCGGCCUCGUAAGUCCGCUGUGAAAGUCCAGGGCUCAACCCUGGAAAGCCGGUGGAUACUGCGAGGCUAGAGUCCGGAAGAGGCGAGUGGAAUUCCUGGUGUAGCGGUGGAAUGCGCAGAUAUCAGGAGGAACACCGAUGGCGAAGGCAGCUCGCUGGGACGGUACUGACGCUGAGGCGCGAAAGCGUGGGGAGCGAACAGG
rnacentral:rRNA from 1 species